CGAGCGCCGCCCGCCCGCGUCCGGAGCCGCGUCGACGGCCGCAGCGCAGCGCGGAGACCCGCGGGCCGAGGACGAGCCGAGGGGUGGAGGGGCCGCGGAUGGCCGGCUCGCAGCCGCAGCGCAGCAGAGCUGUGUUCGAAUCCAGAUUUGAGCUUAGUGAAAUGACCAGACUCUGCACUGGAAUUCAUCUUAUUGACUAAAUAGUGCAAAGAUCUACCAGGAACAACAAAAUAGACCCCUUUGUGGGCCCCCACAGGACCUUGCCCUCAACUUGGAU